rfam:Hepatitis C virus subtype 1a polyprotein gene, complete cds.
CAGACCCCCGGCGUAGGUCGCGCAAUUUGGGUAAGGUCAUCGAUACCCUUACGUGCGGCUUCGCCGACCUCAUGGGGUAC